rnacentral:lncRNA from 1 species
CAGGAAGUGAUGGCUGGGUUUGUCACUGCAGGGCCUGCGAUGGAUGUGUGCAGGAGAGCCGGGGAAGGAGAAACUUAGGCUCUGGCUGAUUGCAUCAUUGUCCUUUCUCCUCCCUCAGAGUGUGUUUCAUUACUGGAACAGCUAGGAAGCAGUGUAGUAAAGGAGAUGUGACAUCCAGAGAAAUAUAUAUUUUCGCGAACCGGGACACAGAGCUCACAGUGAUACUCCAAGAAUGGAAGUGACCAAACUACCAGUAGUGCAGCAUGGAUCAGGGUCACAAUGGAUAGAAGAUGCGGAGGUAGAGGACACAGAGGAGCCGUGGACAAUGGAGGGCUUCCAGAUCAGUCUCAUGGGGAGUAAUGGCAGAGGAGAGGAAGGUUUGAGACUGGAGGCAACUGCAAGCCAUAAUGUAGAGAGUGGGGAGUCGGAGCACGAGACACAUUCCUAGGAAGGAGCAUUCUGGGGCCACUGGGAACGGCCAGGACCACAGACCAGCUUGGAUACCUGGUGCUGGAGAGCAGAGGUCCCUUCCUCGGCAGAGACCUGAGGACACACCACCCACCUCACACAGCAGCUCCCACCUUGAAUCCAGGGGUGAGGUUGAUAUGUGCACACGGAAGGAAAAAACGUUACCACCUUGGCCCUUCCCAGCAUCGUGACAUCCAGAAAGCUCUUCUUCUCACAGCUGCAGCGAUUCUCCACUCAGAUGAAAGACUUUCCUGAAAAGAAACACGUCCUUUGGAAGCGUCCAAAGUGGAAAGGCCGUGGGCAGCAGAGGAUGGAGGUUUCCGCACGGCGGCCCUGAAAGGGUCUGAAUGUGCUGUCAAAGGAGGUUUAUCUGCUCGAGCAGCUGCAGAGCGGAAAGCUCAACAUCGCCCAUGGAAAGUGAGAGAAAGCAAGAAGGGGGUGCCCCGUAAUGCUCCAAGGAGGCUGUUUCAUUGACCACACUCUCCUAGAAUCACGAAACUUCAGAAACACGUGAGCUUCAUUUGCCUGGGGGCUGAACACUGAUCUGCUUCUGGUCUAUUUCCUCCUGAGAUAGUUGCCUGCUCUUAAGCUGACAUACUCCUUCCCAGAGGCC